AAAAUUCUAUUAUAUAUAUAUAUUUCUUUUUAUAUAUAUGUUUUUUCUCUGAUUUUCUUUUAGCAAACAUACCCUUAAAAGAAAUUGAAUAAAUCUAUAUGAAGAGUUUGGCAUACUCCCACAAUGAAGAUGGUCAUGGGCCAAGCAAAAUGCAGAGCCCAUUUGGGACUUGAACAUGGCCAUUUCUUAUACCAACAGCUAGUGGCUGACUGAUCAGCUUCACCCCAUCACUAUUAUCAGCCCAAACUCUUCUGGAGCGGAUGGGGAUAAGAAGCAGUACUAGUUACUGCAUCCAUAAUUUAUUGACCUUAAGCCUUAGUCAUGUGGGUGAGCAUUUGGUGAAGUGAAUUUCCUUCUAUUUUCGCCACUUUCUUUUAUUUUCCACACAAACAAACAGAACUUGCAAUCACAAUUAUGGAGAAUUGGCACUAGGUACUUUGUCUUGUUGCUCAUAGGGAACAAACAAUGAUGGGAUUCAAGAAGUCCCAGCAACCCAGCCUCCCAAGUCAUCUGCCCGUUCAAAUGUACCCUGAAUUCAGCUCUUUUGAUUAGGUUGAGAAAUUUUGGUGAAGAGAGAAUCCUUUUUCUUCAUCUUAUAUCACAACUAAUCUCUUCUGCAUGGUGGGUUCUGCAUUUAGUGCAUAGAAAACCAAAUUGUGAUCUUGGUCUUCCUCAUUCCAAAAAAGGGGGAGACCCCACAAAAGAAAUCCAACCAUUUUCAAAGCUCAUUUCAACAAAUGGGUGUAAGAAUUUCAAUAUUAUUUCAUGAGAUGGUAUUUGAAUCUCACCAAAAAGCUGAGAUGAAUUUUACAUAUUUGGUAAGAGAAACAAAGGAGAUAUCUCAUCUACACACUCUGCACUGCAUAAAUAGAAAAACAAAAAGCGUAAAAAAUCCAAAUCCCAACCCAAACAAUGAAAAAAUAGAAUAAAGAGAAAGAGAGAAAGAGAGAAAAAGACCAUGAACAAUUCAAAAACACAGAGCUGAAAAACUCUAGAAGUAGAGAAGGAAGGAAGAGUUGUCUUGAAGGGAAGAGGGACUGGAGAGACGGAGAUUCCUGAUAUUGAGGGCACCCAUAUUAUGCCUUGGGAGGAACAGCUGCUCUGUCAUCCUUGCCAGCACCACGGUGUAUUCCUCUAGCAGCUCUGUAAUCACAGCCACCAUUAUCAUCUUCUCUUCCUCUCUGAAAGCUUUUGCUCAAUGGCUAUUUCAAAGGGAGCCCUUCAAGGUUGAGAGGCCAAGUAAUGAUUUUUCCUUCUAAGCUUCCGGUGUGGUGGUUAUAUUGAGAUUGAAGGAGGAGGUGUAAUGAAGCCAAACUUAUAAGCUAAUGGGAUUGACCUACUUUAAUUUGUGGCUGAUGAUGUGUGGGGUAGAGUGAACUGAGUUGAAGAAUCAAGGGUGGAGAUGCAGUGGUUUCCAAGUUUGAAAUUCAGUGUUGGCACCGGUCUGGCCCUACAACUCCUUGGGACAUCAGAAAAUGCAAGGAAGGGACUAUUGGCGCACACCCUUGCUGACCUGUUAGAUAUAAUUGAAAGUGCAAGGACUUUUCACAAAACUUACCAAACAAGGCGAAAGAAGGAAGGAGAAGCAACC